GUCCUUUUCCGGGUGACUCCAGUGCUGGCCUUGCAGAACGGCACACUCCUGAAUAAAUUCAGCUUGAUGUAUUCAAGGAGGAUCUGCACACUGUCCUCUUCACCACAGGCAUCUGCAGCAUUCCUGAAAGAUGAGCUGGCAGGAACCUGGAGGACGGUUUUAGUGGUUUGGAAGCCGAAGACGUCCAGGAAACGAAUUCAUGACACACACACAUUCUCAUAAAUAAAACUGAAAUGGUGCCAGAUUUGCUCGCACUGUCGUUCAGUCAAUGAGAAGCGGGUAGAGGAAAGGCAGAUCUUUAGAAAUGGAUGUUAAAAUGUGCAGUCCAGUUGAAUAAGCA
ensembl:lncRNA